GCUGUUGGUGUAGGUGUUAAGAGCACGACUGUGUACAGAGGCUAUAGUUCUCGAUGAGGCUGUCCCGGGUUCGAGUCCCGGACUCAGCG